rnacentral:rRNA from 1 species
CCAAUAGCGUAUAUUAAAGUUGUUGCAGUUAAAAAGCUCGUAGUUGAAUUUCGGGGUUCUACCGUCGGUCGGGCUACCAAGUCUGUACUGGUGUGUAGAAUUUCUACCUUCUGGGGAACCAUCAUGUUAUUAAUUUAGCGUGGUGGGAAACCAGGACCUUUACCUUGAAAAAAUUAGAGUGUUCAAAGCAGGCUUAUGUCUGAAUACAUUAGCAUGGAAUAAUAGAAUAGGACGGUGGUCCUGUUUUGUUGGUUUCUGAAUCACCGUAAUGAUUAAUAGGGAUAGUUGGGGGCAUUAGUAUUCAAUUGUCAGAGGUGAAAUUCUUGGAUUUAUUGAAGACUAACUUCUGCGAAAGCAUUUGCCAAGGAUGUUUUCAUUAAUCAAGAACGAAAGUUAGGGGAUCGAAGACGAUCAGAUACCGUCGUAGUCUUAACCAUAAACUAUGCCGACUAGGGAUCGGACGAUGUUAACUUUUAUUGACUCGUUCGGCGCCUUACG